rnacentral:misc_RNA from 1 species
AAGUCGUAACAAGGUUUCCGUAGGUGAACCUGCGGAAGGAUCAUUAACACGUAUAACGUUUUAACCAUCCCUCAACCCCCUCUGUGAACCAAAACAUUUUAAAACCUAAAUCCUGCGUUGGCAACAGCGUAGGUCGCUCCAGCUGGUUCGAGCAUUCGUGCCUGUUCUUCAAAGCGUGCGCCUGACUCAAUUUUAUUAUUGAGUGGGGUGGCAGGGCGUCAAAUCAAACCCUUGACUCUUACUACUGAAACCCCCCCCUAACUGAAAGGUGCUUUGCACCCGAAGGUUAAACAAAAAUACAAAAACAACUCUUAACAACGGAUAUCUUGGUUCUC